GAAACAUCCACCCAAACCCAGGCCCAUUGGCUAUGAAUCAGGAAACAUUCACCCAAACCCAGGCCCAUUGGCUAUGAAUCAGGAAACAUUCACCCAAACCCAGGCCCAUUGGCUAUGAAUCAGGAAACAUUCACCCAGGCCCAUUGGCUAUGAAUCAGGAAACAUUCUCCCAGUCCCAUUGGCUAUGGAUCAGGAAACAUUCACCCAAACCCAGGCCCAUUGGCUAUGAAUCAGGAAACAUUCACCCAAACCCAGGCCCAUUGGCUAUGAAUCAGGAAACAUUCACCCAGGCCCAUUGGCUAUGAAUCAGGAAACAUUCACCCAGGCCCAUUGGCUAUGAAUCAGGAAACAUUCUCCCAGUCCCAUUGGCUAUGGAUCAGGAAACAUUCACCCAAACCCAGGCCCAUUGGCUAUGAAUCAGGAAACAUUCUCCCAGUCCCAUUGGCUAUGGAUCAGGAAACAUCCACCCAAACCCAGGCCCAUUGGCUAUGGAUCAGGAAACAUCCACCCAGGCCCAUUGGCUAUGGAUCAGGAAACAUCCACCCAAACCCAGGCCCAUUGGCUAUGAAUCAGGAAACAUCCACCCAGUCCCAUUGGCUAUGGAUGAACUUCCCACUCCAAAUGAUUUUAAAACUAGAUCAGGGUUGGGACUGAUGCAUAUUAAUAUGAGGAGUCUGAUGCAGAACAUGGACAUGAUAAAAGUCUGGGUUCACACUGCUGACCCAGAUGUCUUAGUACUGUCCGAGACCUGGCUUAAGAAAUCUGUUCUAAAUCAGUCUAUAGACUUGGAUGGUUAUAAUGUUUAUCGAUGUGACCGACAAAGUAACUGGGGAGGGGGGUAUAUCCGUCUAUUUUUUAAAGACCGAUGUUUGGUUACUGAACUAAGGUCUUUAUCUAAACCAAAACAGUGAGUUUUUAAGCAUUGAAACUGCAGUUAUCGAAAGCUGCGAACUUUAGAUUUGAUAGGAUGUUAUAGAUCUCCAUCUGCAAAAGUAGAACCCCUGGAUUCUCUGGCUGAACUGAUGCGUGGUUGGGGGGGAGAUGAAAUGGUCCUUAUGGGCGAUUUAAACUGCGAUUGGUUAUCUCCAAACUCCUAGGCCAUAAGGGGACUGUGCAAUAAAUUUAUAUUUUACACAAAUUAUAAAUGCAGUCAUAAAACUCAAUCCCAAAGACAUCUCUAAAUCAACACUUAUUUGAUGUUAUUCUAACAAGCAAUCCUCCUAAAUACUCGGCCGUUGGUAUUAUCGCUAAUGAUUUAAGUGAUCGUUGUGCAGUUGCUUGCAUUAGAGACACUAAAAUCCCCAAAGUGUCCUCUCGGUUCAUAGCCAAACAUUUUUGUUAGUUCUGUGAGCAGACAUUCCUGCAUGAACUUCAUAGAUAGGAUAGGAUUGCACUUAUUACAGAUAUCGAAGAGGAAUUCUCCUAUUUUCAUUCCUUGUUUUCUAUUAUCUGCGAUUAUUAGACCCCUCUUACUGGGUAAGGAGGUAGAGACAGUUCCUGGUUUACAGGAGAAUUAUCUGAUUGGAUCCCAAAAAUACACAGUGGGCCAAAGCCAGAAAGGGGUAAUUCCCAGGCAGAAUGGCAGUUAUUCAGGGCACUGAAAAAUAAAUGUACCUUGUUCAUACAGAAAUGCAAAUCUAGCUUUUAUUACGAAUCUACCAAGGCAAACCUCAGUAACCCGACCAAAUUAUGGAAAACCAUUUAAAUCCAUGAAUGCUAACACUAACUCCUCUGGUCUUCUGUUCAAAUUGACCUCAAAUUCAAUGGAUGUGACUCACAAGAAUAAACUGUUUGACAUGUUUAAUGAGCAUUUUGCUAAAGCUGGACAUUUAUUUGAUAAUGAACUCCUUCCUAACAUCUCAAAUGAGGCUGUGAAUGAAACUGCCACAUGCUGGCCUACGGUUCAUCUAUUUCAUUUUUACCGAGAUUGAGCUUUCAGAAGUUGUAAAGGAACUCAAAUGUAUUGAUAUAAAGAAAGAGGCUGGCCCGGAUGAAUUAAACCCAUAUUUUCAAACAAUUGGUGCAGAGAUCAUUGCUGCCCCUCUCACUCAUAUAUUAAAUAUUUAAUUGGAGAGUAAUACCAUUUCGAAAGUCUGGAAAGCAGCCCAUGUCAUGCUUUUACAUAAAGGUGGAGAUCCGUCCCAGUUGGAUAACUGUCUAUCUAAAUUGUCUGCGCUGGCAAAGGUUUUAGAAAACCUGGAGAACUCACCAGUUCAAAGACUUUCUUCAUAAUAACUCAGUUAUAUCUGAAUUCCAGGCGGGUUUUAGAGCCGAGCAUAGUACAAUUACUGUUGGGUUUUAGAGCCGAGCAUAGUACAAUUACUGCUGGGUUUUAGAGCCGAGCAUAGUACAAUUACUGUUGGGUUUUAGAGCCGGGCAUAGUACAAUUACUGCUGGGUUUUAGAGCCGGGCAUAGUACAAUUACUGUUGGGUUUUAGAGCCGGGCAUAGUACAAUUACUGUUGAGUUUUAGAGCCGAGCAUAGUACAAUUACUGUUGGGUUUUAGAGCCGAGCAUAGUACAAUUACUGCUGGGUUUUAGAGCCGGGCAUAGUACAAUUACUGUUGGGUUUUAGAGCCGGGCAUAGUACAAUUACUGUUGGGUUUUAGAGCCGAGCAUAGUACAAUUACUGUUGGGUUUUAGAGCCGAGCAUAGUACAAUUACUGUUGGGUUUUAGAGCCGAGCAUAGUACAAUU
ensembl:lncRNA